rnacentral:rRNA from 1 species
UACAGAGGGGGCAAGCGUUGUUCGGAAUUACUGGGCGUAAAGGGCGCGUAGGCGGCCUGCUAAGUCGAACGUGAAAUCCCCGAGCUCAACUCGGGAACUGCGUCCGAUACUGGCAGGCUUGAAUCCGGGAGAGGGAUGCGGAAUUCCAGGUGUAGCGGUGAAAUGCGUAGAUAUCUGGAGGAACACCGGUGGCGAAGGCGGCGUCCUGGACCAAUACUGACACUGAACAGCGAAAGCCAGGGGAGCAAACGGG